rnacentral:rRNA from 1 species
GUGGGGAAUUUUGGACAAUGGGCGCAAGCCUGAUCCAGCAAUGCCGCGUGUGUGAAGAAGGCCUUCGGGUUGUAAAGCACUUUUGGCAGGAAAGAAAUAGUGCGUGCUAAUACCAUGCGCGAAUGACGGUACCUGCAGAAUAAGCACCGGCUAACUACGUGCCAGCAGCCGCGGUAAGACGUAGGGUGCAAGCGUUAAUCGGAAUUACUGGGCGUAAAGCGUGCGCAGGCGGUUUUGUAAGACAGGUGUGAAAUCCCCGGGCUCAACCUGGGAACUGCACUUGUGACUGCGAGGCUAGAGUGUGUCAGAGGGAGGUGGAAUUCCGCGUGUAGCAGUGAAAUGCGUAGAGAUGCGGAGGAACACCGAUGGCGAAGGCAGCCUCCUGGGAUAACACUGACGCUCAGGCACGAAAGCGUGGGGAGCAAACAGGAUUAGAAACCCGAGUAGUCC